rnacentral:piRNA from 1 species
UGGAAUGAAGGAGGUGUCUACACAAUCUAUGC